AUUGACGAAAGGUUCAGAGCAGGAAUUGUGAAACGGCUCCUGGCAGCAGCCUGAAUCUACUCUGCACUCUGUCAUGAUGCCAUUGCCUGGGACUUACGAAUUUUGCUUGUACAAGAUUUAUUAUCUUAUUUUAAACUACAGAAUUCCAAAACACAAGGCAAACCCGGGCCCAAAGGUCUUUGUAGAAGUGGUAGCAGCUGAGAAGGGGACGUUCAUAAUGGCACAUGGAAAUUGGAGGCGUGUGGAGAGAAAACAGACUGUGGGGUCUGAAGACCUGGAACUGUGUACCAGUCCUAUAGUUAACAAGCUCAACCUAUCAGCUGAGGAAUAAGUAGGUUUGGACUAGGCCUGGGCUUCCCAAAGAAACAGCCUGACACUGCUGAUCUGGGAUUUGUGAACAUUCCAUAAUAUUGACUCACGUAAUGACAUGUUAAUCCUUUUCUUCAAUUUAUGUUCAGUACUUUUCUUGCAUUAUAUCAUGGAGAAAGCUUCAAUUUUAUGCUGGUAUGUCCUUAACACCUUUCUAUCCUUGAUCUUAGCCAAAAGGUUGAGAAGCAGUCUUCAACACCUUUCUAAUCCCUCACUGAUUUUCCUUUUUUAACAGAGCAAACCUCAGGCUCAGACCCUUUGGCAGGCAGCAGUAUCUAGCUGGAAUUUAAAAAUCACUCCCCUCACCUCCCGCGGCAUUUGAUGUUAAGGUCACUACUAAUUAUGGCAAGUGAU
rnacentral:lncRNA from 1 species